CCAGAUUUUUUGGGGAAGGAUUCUGAUGUAUCUAGUUACUCAUCAACAAGUAAACCACCUAACAAUAGUGGUUCUGUUCCUCCUAAGAAGAUUCAGAGAGCACCAUCCAUGCCACCACUUAGAGUAAAAGAAGAAGAUAAGAGUGGAAUGGAUUUUACAAGAGGCAAAUUGAUGCACCAAUCACCAUCAAGUAAACCACAUAACAGUAGUGGUUCUGUUCCUCCAAAGAGGAUCCAGAGAGCACCAUCCAUGCCCCCACUUUUAGUGAGAGAUGAAGAUGAGAAGAAAGGAAGAAAAUUGGUGCACCAAUCAUUAGAUACUGAAGUGGUUCAAGCGGCUAGUAAAC
rnacentral:lncRNA from 1 species